GUCGUCAGCUCGUGUCGUGAGAUGUUGGGUUAAGUCCCGCAACGAGCGCAACCCUCGCCUUUAGUUACCAUCAUUCAGUUGGGGACUCUAAAGGAACCGCCGGUGAUAAGCCGGAGGAAGGUGGGGAUGACGUCAAGUCCUCAUGGCCCUUACGCGCUGGGCUACACACGUGCUACAAUGGCGGUGACAGUGGGCAGCAAACUCGCGAGAGUGCGCUAAUCUCCAAAAGCCGUCUCAGUUCGGAUUGUUCUCUGCAACUCGAGAGCAUGAAGGCGGAAUCGCUAGUAAUCGCGGAUCAGCAUGCCGCGGUGAAUACGUUCCCGGG
rnacentral:rRNA from 1 species